AGCAGUAGCCGCGGGAAUACGAAGGGGGCUAGCGUUGCUCGGAAUUACUGGGCGUAAAGGGAGCGUAGGCGGACAUUUAAGUCAGGGGUGAAAUCCCGGGGCUCAACCUCGGAAUUGCCUUUGAUACUGGGUGUCUUGAGUAUGAGAGAGGUAUGUGGAACUCCGAGUGUAGAGGUGAAAUUCGUAGAUAUUCGGAAGAACACCAGUGGCGGAGGCGACAUACUGGCUCAUUACUGACGCUGAGGCUCGAAAGCGUGGGGAGCAAACAGGAUUAGAUACCCCUGUAGUCCCUGUCUCUUAUAC
rnacentral:rRNA from 1 species